ensembl:snoRNA SNORA73 Small nucleolar RNA SNORA73 family
CCAGUAUGGCUACCCCAGGAGGCUGCUCUCCCCAGGCUCUACACUAGUGGCAGAGGGGAGCAUAGGUCUCUACCUCAUGAUAUACCAUCCCUUUCUACGAUGUUAGAGGGGAAACUGGACCUGGAGUCUCUGUCUGUAUAUACCUGUGACUUCUCAGUGUCCUGUGGACAAUGACAGAGAAGACAACCCAGGCAGUUCUAUGU